CUCACACAAACCACACAAACUUUAAGCCUUGUGAAGCUGCCCAGGUGGUGUGUAGGAAAUUUUGGUAGAGAAAGAAAUAGUUUGAAAGUUGGUUUCUGACAAGAGGAAAGAAAAGGCUGCAACACUAAAGGAAGACUCAAAGUGUUAAAAGGACGCUCAAAAUGUAGUAUUGUGGCAGGUCGGGAAUCCCAUCAUCUUUAUUGAGAGACAUUCCUUUGGAAAGAAUACUUCCAAUCAUUCUAUCAAAAAUCUUAUACUUGAAGAGAAGCCCUGCUGGAAUGGUGAGUAAGGAUUUUUGAAAAUCUGAUUCCUCCAUAUCAUUGUAAAACUUGUCAAAAUCAACGUUUCAGAACUCUGGAAAUUAAUGAAAGGCUUACAACAAUCCAAGACUUUUUUUUUUUUUUUUUUUUUUUGUAGCUGAAUCUCUAAGAACAGUGAGCUCCUUGGCAUUUUAACUUGCUCAGUUCCCAUCUCCCUCUCCUCAUCUCUUUAUUAGGCUUGGAAUUGAACAGGCUUGCAAGCACAGUAGCUGUAAAAACAAUCAGAUUAGCAGCCAUGAAAAGGGGUAAGACGACUUUGGAAUAUCUCCAAACUUCAUCCCCAAAGAAUUGUCACUACUUGACCUAUCUAGCAGCAUCCUGGAGGAGACCCUCUAAAAUACAGUACUGUAUUAUAUUUACCAGGACGUGUCUUUACUUGACCUUACCCAGAGCCACUUGAGGUUAGCAAGAGGUUGAAAAAAAACAAACCACCACAAAACAAAAACAAAACUUAAAAAAAUGGAAAUAGUUUUAAACAUUGAAAAACAAUUGACUUACCUUCAGUUUCACUGAUUCUUAUGGGAGUUCAAAUCUGUUAUUGGGCCUUGCUAGCAAAUUUUUUAUUUCAGUUAUUAUACUUUUCAGU
rnacentral:lncRNA from 1 species